CUACAUGGAUACCCGUGGUAAUUCUGAGGCUAAUACAUGAACGUACCCCCUGAUCAACUGGGUAACCGGGAGGUUGGGGACAGUGCGGUCAGUCGCAGAUUUUGCUGGGAAUAGACGCACUUUCAAACCACCAUACAAGCAGUUGGGGUACCGACCUUCGGGAAGGUGCCCUUUCUGGGUGGGCCUUGCUUUGUGCUUCUGACCUAUCAACUAG
rnacentral:rRNA from 3 species